rnacentral:rRNA from 1 species
CCUACGGGUGGCAGCAGUGGGGAAUAUUGGGCAAUGGACGCAAGUCUGACCCAGCAACGCCGCGUGAAGGAAGAAGGCUUUCGGGUUGUAAACCUCUUUUAAGGGGGACGAGCAGAAGACGUUACCCCUUGAAUAAGCCACGGCUAACUACGUGCCAGCAGCCGCGGUAAAACGUAGGUGGCAAGCGUUGUUCGGAUUUACUGGGUGUAAAGGGGGGGCAGCCGGAGAGGCAAGUCAGAUGUGAAAUUCACGGGCUCAACCCGUGAACUGCAUUUGAAACUGUUUCCCUUGAGUGUCGGAGGGGUAAUCGGAAUUCCGUGUGUAGCGGUGGAAUGCGUAGAUAUAAGGAAGAACACCAGUGGCGAAGGCGGAUUACUGGACGAUAACUGACGGUGAGGCGCGAAAGCGUGGGGAGCAAACAGGAUUAGAUACCCCUGUAGUC